rnacentral:rRNA from 1 species
UCAACCAANGUAUGCUUUGGAAACUGUUAGACUNGAGUGCAGAAGGGGAGAGUGGANUUCCAUGUGUAGCGGUGAAAUGCGUAGAUAUAUGGAGGAACACCGGUGGCGAAAGCGGCUCUCUGGUCUGUCACUGACGCUGAGGCUCGAAAGCGUGGGUAGCGAACAGGAUUAGAUACCCUGGUAGUCCACGCCGUAAACGCUGAGUGCUAGGUGUUAGGUCCUUUCCGGGACUUAGUGCCGACGCUAACGCAUUAAGCACUCCGCCUGGGGAGUACGACCGCAAGGUUGAAACUCAAAGGAAUUGACGGGGGCCCGCACAAGCGGUGGAGCAUGUGGUUUAAUUCGAAGCAACGCGAAGAACCUUACCAGGUCUUGACAUCCCGAUGCCCGCUCUAGAGAUAGAGUUUUUCUUCGGAACAUCGGAGACAGGUGGUGCAUGGUUGUCGUCAGCUCGUGUCGUGAGAUGUUGGGUUAAGUCCCGCAACGAGCGCAACCCUUAUUGUUAGUUGCCAUCAUUAAGUUGGGCACUCUAGCGAGACUGCCGGUAAUAAACCGGAGGAAGGUGGGGAUGACGUCAAAUCAUCAUGCCCCUUAUGACCUGGGCUACACACGUGCUACAAUGGUUGGUACAACGAGUCGCAAGCCGGUGACGGCAAGCUAAUCUCUGAAAGCCAAUCUCAGUUCGGAUUGUAGGCUGCAACUCGCCUACAUGAAGUCGGAAUCGCUAGUAAUCGCGGAUCAGCACGCCGCGGUGAAUACGUUCCCGGGCCUUGUACACACCGCCCGUCACACCACGAGAGUUUGUAACACCCAAAGUCGGUGAGGUAACCAUUUAUGGGGC